AGUGAACGCUGGCGGUAGGCCUAACACAUGCAAGUCGAACGGCAGCACAGUAAGAGCUUGCUCUUACGGGUGGCGAGUGGCGGACGGGUGAGGAAUACAUCGGAAUCUACUUUUUCGUGGGGGAUAACGUAGGGAAACUUACGUUAAUACCGCAUAUGACCUACGGGUGAAAGCAGGGGAUCUUCGGACCUUGCGCGAUUGAAUGAGCCGAUGUCGGAUUAGCUAGUUGGCGGGGUAAAGGCCCACCAAGGCGACGAUCCGUAGCUGGUCUGAGAGGAUGAUCAGCCACACUGGAACUGAGACACGGUCCAGACUCCUACGGGAGGCAGCAGUGGGGAAUAUUGGACAAUGGGCGCAAGCCUGAUCCAGCCAUACCGCGUGGGUGAAGAAGGCCUUCGGGUUGUAAAGCCCUUUUGUCGGGAAAGAAAAGCAGCAGGUUAAUACCCCGCUGUUCUGACGGUACCCAAAGAAUAAGCACCGGCUAACUUCGUG
rnacentral:rRNA from 1 species